UGGUGAGAUAUAAUGUAUGUGUGUGUAUCUCUACAGGUAUGUCAUAUGGCUCACCUGUAGAUGAAAGACUAAAGCCAGGUAAGACUUCAGUGGAUUUUACUUUUCCGAUGUGUCCAGGGCAACAUUUUGUCAGCUAAAGUGGGGCCGGAGAGCAGAGGAUUGUUCUGUGUGUCCUGCUGGCUACUUCUGUCCUCAUCCGGCCACAAUCAAUCCAAAAGUUUGUGGAACAGGAAGUUAUUCUGUAAACCGGAUAGCUAAUUCUAUUCUAAUGCAUGUUGUACCAUUGUAAUAAAUUAUUUCACCAUUUCAUUGAUCUGUCUCCCUCUCUUCUGGCUCUCUGUCUUGCUCUUUUUCGUUACGAUGAGGGGUCAGUGGAGUGUCAGCCAUGUUUGCCGGGUCACUACUGCAGCAAUGAGACAACCAGUGAAGAGGCCAUGCUCAGAGUAAUGGUCUGCCCUCCAGGUUUCCUCUGCUCACAGGGCCUGGAUCGAGAACCCCAGCGCUCAGCGGUAUUCUGCCCAAUAAGCUUUUACUGUCCCGAUGGAAGUGUUGUAAGUAUCAUUUCAAGGGUCAGAAACAUUACAAAUAUCAUUGAUCAUCAUGUCAGAUGAUCAAUGGCACGAAACAUAGCAAUUAUUUAUUUUCUAUUAUUUAUGCCCUACUCAGGAUGCUAAUCCUGUUCCGUGCCCCAAAGGAACCUACAGUCUACAGCCAAGACUGCGUGACCCUUCAGACUGCACAGAGAGUCCAGAGGGCAAAUACUGCUACACAGAGAAUCCCCAGGAAGAACCGCUCAAAUGUUUGAGGCCAGUAAGACUCUUUUUUUUUUUUUUUUUCAGAUUUGUUAGGUCCCCAUCCACUUUCAUAGCAUGGAAAAAAGCAGUUUGGGGUGCACUUUCUCUUUGACUUGUUUAUUGUUCCAAUCAGACAGGAAACUGUCCUGAUGGAUACUUCUGUCCUCCUAGCACCAGACAUCCAAAUUCAUUUCCAUGCCAGUCUGGCUUCUUCAGGAAUGACUCGUAUGGACAAACUUGUGUGGAAUGUCCUCCUGGUCACUACUGUUCCACUCUGGCCACACACACUCUUACAGUCUGUCCACAGGUUCUUCCUGAUGGUCAUGAAGGUGGUGUGUGUCCUGCUGGAAGUUUCUGCCCACCAGGCUCAGCUCACCCACAGUCCUGCCCUUCAGGGACCUACAGUAACAGCACGGGUCUUCAACAUGCAGGGCAGUGUGUCCGCUGUCCUCCAGUGGUAUGACUGCAAGAGUAAUAAUGUAUUUCUUCUGUGGAACACAAGAGAAGAUAUUUUGAAGAAUGCUAGCAACCAAACUGUUUUGGUUGCCAUUGACUUCCACAGUAUUGACAAAAAAGAGACAUUUUUCAAACAGGUUUGAAACAACAGCUGAGUAAAUUAUGACAGAAUUAAACAUUUUUGACAGAAUUAAAAUCAGACACACCAGUCCAGCAUGAAGCUGAGGAGGGACACUACUCUUUGAAAGGGCUGCCCUGCUGGAUCCCUAAUUGCUUACCCAUGUCCCCCCCAUGUAUGAAACAUGAUUUUCCAUCUAUUAUAUACUAUCAUUUAAACAAAACAUUUUUCUGAAAGAAGUAUAUUCGGCUCAACAAGGCUGUAUUUAUUUGAUCAAAAAUAAAGUUAAAAAGUAAUAUUGUGGAAUAUUAUUA
ensembl:lncRNA